rnacentral:rRNA from 1 species
AUGCCUUUCCCAAAACCAAUGAUUGGAUUUAACCUGCCCAAUUAUACCACUCAUAAAUUAGAAAGAACGAUUCUUAAACAAGAUAUUGGACCAUCUUUUUUCUACUAUGAAAAUGUCGCCCAAGCUCCCAGAGGUGUAUGGACGACCAUUUCAAGAUCUCUGUAUAACAUUCUACCUAAGUUUGUGGAUUCUAAGCAUUUGUGUUCAACGGCAAGGAAAAGAGGCUACAUCCAUAAUUUGCCAAAUUAG